rnacentral:misc_RNA from 1 species
GUUCUUCCACACACUGUAAAGCUUCAUCCAAUAGCCGGAUACUGAAAUAUUCUUCAAGAAGAGAGAUAGUUUUCUUUCUGAGAUCAUCUUGUUUCAAAGAUGCAGUUGGAACCUGUGGUCUCUCGGCAGGUGAAAGGACUGUUGCUGCCGUAAUAGGUUUAUGAACCUGACCAGAGGGCUCUAACCCAUGACCAAAGUUAACGGGACGAGUGGUAGAACCACCUGCACUUGCACUUGCACUUGCACCUGCACCUGCACCCUGACCCUGCAAUAGAGCACUAGUCUUAUUGCUAAUGAGCCCACCUGUACCCUGGGGCAGAAGCCUUGCAUUCAAAGUUGAUGUUUUGC